rnacentral:lncRNA from 1 species
CUGCAAAAGCAAAAAUAAAAAACUGAAUCGAAACUUUUAUCCCUUUUAUCUCACGUCGGCCGUUGGCUCAAACCAACAGUACAAAUAUAGUGAGCCGCUGAGCCGCCAACUCAGCAUUAAAUUUUCAGCCGUUGAAUUAUUCGACUAUAGUGAGCAUUUGAUAAGCAAGUUUUGUUUUGUUUCUCCAUCGUAGUAACUGUUUUAUCCAUGGAUGUCCCGUCUCUCUACACGUGGAGGAAACAAACCGGUCAAGUCCAGAAAAAGUUUAAAACAGCCCAGGAUUCCCCGGAUCACAUAAGUGCUAAAAGAAGUGAGACAGAUACUGGCUGCCAACACACAUUGACUGGCCACUUGAUGUAUCAGAUAUCAAGUGUAGUGGAUUUCUUGCUGAAAUGUCAACCAUAUCUUUCUCAGCACUUUGCGACCAUCACUAUGCAGCUUCAGUGUCUUGACAGAUUACAAUUAAGCUGGAUGACGACUUUUAAAAUUUGUAUGAAGAAACGCUGAUGUCAUCUCCAGUAUCAAAUCAAAGUGUUUCGUCAGUAGUCAAAUGAUUUGCUUGUGAGUCUCCGAUAACGAGGCUUUUCACGGUCUAAUUGUUAGACAUUUCGUUACUAGGUGAAUGCGAACUGACUGCUUCGCGCUAUUGUGAGACAUAAAUCACUACCGGCGAACAUGAAAGUCUUUUAUUGUUACAAGGAUUCUGUUAUCAUGGUGAUAUCAACUGGCGAAAAAGUUAAUUGAUUAUACCCGGCCGUAGUAAGUGACUCUUCCGAGAGCUGGUUUGAGUCUCUUUCCUUUAAAUUUAAAUUUAAUAAAUAUUCCAUUCAUUUCUCGUUUAUUUCUGUAGGAUUCGGUUGAUAUUGCGCUUUGCUUAGCAAUCUAUCCGUCCGCUGAUGCAGACCACUGAAAAGUGUGUUCACAUGAUGGUGAUAGUGUUCAUUUGAAAAGGAGCGAAUUGCUGAGCAAAGAUGUGUUACAACAUAAAUCGUGCUGUUUGAGGUUUUCAUAUUAAAUAUUAUAAAGAGGCUACUUUUCAUCCCACUCUUCCAUCUCAUGCGUUAGCGAAUCAUCCAACAUGAUACGUUACGAGAACCGUUACACUGGUUAGCGAAUCAUGCAACAUGACAUGACAUCUGGUGCGUGACUGGAAAGUGAGCAGAGGAAAACAGUCUUUCGUUCGUCUGCUGCUUGAGGUUUUGAAAAUUCGAGUUCAGUUUUUUUCUUUCAGUUUUAUACUUCACGGUGCAAUGACUGCAAUCCAGGCUGCUUCCUGACUGUUUCGUUUAUCUUCAAAUUUUCGACGGUUUUAAGUAGAAACCAAUUGGCUGGUUCUUCCACUGAUAGCAGCCAACCUAUCUCAUCUCUCCUCUUCUUUGCAUCCUUGUUUACAUUCAUGGAUGCUGUGUUUGCAGAGAUGACCUUGUUCUUUUUGUCACUGAAUGGAACAUCAGGGAAUGCUAAGGAUUUCCCAGGAUCCAAGAUUAUAAGUACUACACCACCAAGGUUCCAGAAUAUUGCACGAAUACUUACGCUGCCCCGAGCUACUACACAGCCACUACACCGCCCAAGUACUACAACCUACGCUGCCCCAGCUUACAUCACUUACACCACUAAG